UUAAGUUCAGCGGGUAGUCCUACCUGAUUUGAGGUCAAGAAGUUCAUUAAGUGUUGUCCAACAGUGGACAGUUAGUAGCUGAACUAGCCAGAGAGCAAUCAUCACAGUGUAGAUAAUUAUCACACUAGUGACGGGACUGCAAACGGUUCCGCUAAUGCAUUUCAGGAGAGCCGACCUCUACAGGCCCGCAAACCCCCAAC
rnacentral:misc_RNA from 1 species